AACGAACGCUGGCGGCAUGCCUAACACAUGCAAGUCGAACGAGACCUUCGGGUCUAGUGGCGCACGGGUGCGUAACGCGUGGGAACCUGCCCUUAGGUUCGGAAUAACUCCCCGAAAGGGGUGCUAAUACCGGAUAAUGUCUUCGGACCAAAGAUUUAUCGCCUUUGGCUGGGCCCGCGUUGGAUUAGCUAGUUGUUAGGGUAAAAGCCUACCAAGGCGACGAUCCAUAGCUGGUCUGAGAGGAUGAUCAGCCACACUGGGACUGAGACACGGCCCAGACUCAUACGGGAGGCAGGAGUGGGGAAUAUUGGACAAUGGGCGAAAGCCUGAUCCAGCACUGCCGCGUGAGUGAUGAAGGCCUUAGGGUUGUAAAGCUCUUUUACCCGGGAUGAUAAUGACAGUACCGGGAGAAUAAGCUCCGGCUAACUCCGUG
rnacentral:rRNA from 1 species